ACUUAUGAAAGAGGCCUUCUCUAGUUUUUCUCAGACAAUAUAAGCUGUAAUGCUUUUUCUUCUGUAAACAGAACUCAGUUUCCCUGGCGAACCUCAAGGAUGUGAAGGUACAAACACCGGAUUCACCUUCUUUGCCAAGCGCACAACCUCUCCUGAACCAGCAGGUAAAUAUGACAACUCAAAGCAGCAAAAUAUCUCCAGGUCCCAGCAGGAUCUCUUGUACUGAGGAUCCAACAACAAUUGUCUGCAAUACUUUAUCGAAGUCCGCAUCAAGGGGGGAGAGUUCCAUGCUUGCAGCAGACAGUGAAAAUGUGAAAACUCUGAGACGAGAUACAGUAUCUACCUCAGAUAGACAGCCUUCCCAGAAGCAACCAACAAAUACAUCAAGUAUGAGCUCCAUGCUUGCAGCAGACACUAAAAUGUGAGAAGUGUAAGACGAGAUUUGGUAUCUACCUCAGAUAGGCGGCCUUCCCAGAAGCAGCAGAUGAACACAUCAAAUAUGGACUCUUCAAUAUCUUCAGGGUCGGCUAACAUUCCAUCCACUGAAGGGUCAACUAUAGCUGGAUUCCGUACUGCUUCAAAAAAGUCCCUUCCAAAGGUUGAUAAUGUGAAGACAGAAACACAGGUUUUGCCAUCUUUACCUAAUAGGCAGCCCUCUCAGAAGCAACAGC